rnacentral:rRNA from 1 species
UACAGAGGGUGCAAGCGUUAAUCGGAAUUACUGGGCGUAAAGCGUGCGCAGGCGGUUUUGUAAGUCUGUCGUGAAAUCCCCGGGCUCAACCUGGGAAUUGCGAUGGAGACUGCAAGGCUAGAAUCUGGCAGAGGGGGGUAGAAUUCCACGUGUAGCAGUGAAAUGCGUAGAUAUGCGGAGGAACACCGAUGGCGAAGGCAAUCCCCUGGGCCUGCACUGACGCUCAUGCACGAAAGCGUGGGGAGCAAACAGG